GGGCCCAUAGCUCAGCUGGUUAGAGCAGCGGACUCAUAAUCCGUUGGUCCUAGGUUCAAGUCCUAGUGGGCCCA
rnacentral:tRNA from 1 species